rnacentral:lncRNA from 1 species
CUCUUCAAGUGGCCUGGGAGCGCGCGCAUGCGCGCUGCUGGGAACCGGCCGGGGUGCCGGGUCGAAAGACAGACGCGCGGGCCGGGCGUGCGCGGGCUUGGUGGAGGGCGGGAAGGCUGAAGGGCGGUGACAGGUCGCACUGCCUCGCGAGGGCCAGAACGCCCAUUUCUGCAGAGGUGCACUCAGUGGCGUGGGAAAUCAAAUGCAUCCGGUUAUCCCAGUUCGGCCUCUCUGGGAUUCCGCGGGAGGGGGUGUCUGGUCUGGUUUGGUUUGGUUUGGUUUGGUUUGGUUUGGUCCGGUUCAAAGUAGCGCAGUCUGACUGAGCGGGAGGUGGAGUGGAAGGCGAGAAUAGGGGUGAAGGAUUAGACAGAAGAAGACUUUGAACUAGGAACAGUGGCAACCAGGGUGACCCAGGCUUUUGUGACCCGUAGAGGCAGAAGCUGCCUUAAUCCAUGUUCCCUUCGGGAUGCUGGUAUCCAACUGAGAAGUUGACGGAGCAUCUAUCGUGUGCCAGACACUGUGCUAAGUGCUAACGAGAAAUCGGUGAGCAAAACAGAAAAGAAAAAAAAAGAAGAAACGACUGCCAGCAUUGAACUUAGUACCUAGCAAAGUAGGUGGACAUAAAUCAAAUUGUCAGACAAGUAAAUGAGUAGUUGCAGCUGUGAUAAGGGGUAUGAAGAAUAGGCGCUUCCAUGAUGGCGGAACAUGACCUAGUCUGGGGUGGAGAAGGGGAGAUGAUUCCAGCUGGAAUAUGGCAGGUGAGAGUUAACUAAUAGCACUGAGUUGGCAGAGGCAGGAUGACCUGCCCCAGGCAGGUGCCCCAGAAUGAGAGGAUGUUGCUGCUGGUGGAACUCCAGCUUUAAAGCGGUGGAUCUAGGGCCACAUUCCUCAAGGCCAUAGCAAACAGGAAAGACCUUUUGGACUAGGGUCUUUGGAGUAGUCACAUGAGGCCAAGAACCCAAUAGGGCUGAAAGAGAAUCUCAUCAUAGGCUGAAUGGGAGCAGAGCAUUAGCUGCAACUCCAAUGUAUUAUAGUAAAAGGGGACACAUUGAUUAGAAUGAUUAUACCCCUCCAAGUGUAAGCUGUUGUUCAAUUUACCCAGGGCUUAAAAAUAUGUCAACUCUUCACAACCAUUUUUACUACAAGCCACACUCAACCUGUGUUGUUCCCUGAACCUGUGAUGCACUUUCAUCCGUUCAUGUCUCUACACAUCCUUCCUGGGCCCCAUAGAGGCCCUGCACCUUAAGGUUUUCAGCUGGAUUCCUAUUAGCUAGUUAUUUUAUCUCAGGUACAGAGAGUUAACUUUGCUCCUCAAUUUUCAGCACAUUGUCAUAUCAGUCCCUACAGGGUCCUUGUUUACAUUAUUUUAUAGUGUUUAUAUUAUUUUUUCCUCAUCUUUCUCGAUCCCCACUCUCAUUCUUCUAGACACAAGCUGCAAUAUGUUCGAUAGAGAUCCUUGAUAAUUUAACACAGAUAAUGUUUUGUUUAUGCCUCUUGCAUUUACAGAGAUGGUAUUGGACUGUAAAUCUCUAUUUCCCACUGUUUUACUCAACAGUCUGUUUUUGAGCUAUACCCACAUUGCUGUGUGUACACCUAGUUUGCUACCGAGUAUGCCAGAAAUUUUAUUCAUACAUAUCCCUACUGAUCGGGCAUCUAGGUUACUGCCAACUCCCUGAAGUCAUACUGUGGUGAAAACCCUUGUGAAUGUCUUUACAAACCUUUGCCAGAACUUAUUUUGUGCUCUUGUAGAACUUUGUGCAUACCCUCUGCUUCCUCAUUACACUGCUUGGCAUAUAGCAGAGACUCAACAAAUGUUGAAUACCUCUACUAUGAUGGUUAGUGUACUAGAAUAAUUUAUUUAUAUUUCUGUUUUCCUUAUUGGAUUAUUAGUACCUUCCAGACAGGGCAAAUGUCUUUUCUAUCUUUGUGUCCCUGGCACAUUAAAAGUGGUUGAUUUCAAGGUAUGUUCAAUGAAUGAAUAAAUACUUAUCUUCACUGCCAGUAC